UGGGGAAUAUUGCACAAUGGGCGCAAGCCUGAUGCAGCCAUGCCGCGUGUAUGAAGAAGGCCUUCGGGUUGUAAAGUACUUUCAGCGAGGAGGAAGGCGUUGUGGUUAAUAACCGCAGCGAUUGACGUUACUCGCAGAAGAAGCACCGGCUAACUCCGUGCCAGCAGCCGCGGUAAUACGGAGGGUGCAAGCGUUAAUCGGAAUUACUGGGCGUAAAGCGCACGCAGGCGGUCUGUCAAGUCGGAUGUGAAAUCCCCGGGCUCAACCUGGGAACUGCAUCCGAAACUGGCAGGCUAGAGUCUUGUAGAGGGGGGUAGAAUUCCAGGUGUAGCGGUGAAAUGCGUAGAGAUCUGGAGGAAUACCGUUGGCGAAGGCGGCCCCCUGGACAAAGACUGACGCUCAGGUUCGAAAGCGUGGGGAGCAAACA
rnacentral:rRNA from 1 species